rnacentral:rRNA from 1 species
AACCAGCACCUCAAGUGGUCAGGAUGAUUAUUGGGCCUAAAGCAUCCGUAGCCGGCUCUGUAAGUUUUCGGUUAAAUCUGUACGCUUAACGUACAGGCUGCUGGGAAUACUGCAGAGCUAGGGAGUGGGAGAGGUAGACGGUACUCGGGAGGAAGUGGUAAAAUGCUUUGAUCUCUCGAUGACCACCUGUGGCGAAGGCGGUCUACCAGAACACGUCCGACGGUGAGGGAUGAAAGCUGGGGGAGCAAACCGGAUUAGAAACCCCAGUAGUCC